rnacentral:rRNA from 1 species
UACGUAGGGUGCGGGCGUUGUCCGGAAUUAUUGGGCGUAAAGAGCUCGUAGGCGGUUUGUCGCGUCUGCUGUGAAAACUCGGGGCUUAACUCCGGGCCUGCAGUGGGUACGGGCAGACUAGAGUGCGGUAGGGGAGACUGGAAUUCCUGGUGUAGCGGUGAAAUGCGCAGAUAUCAGGAAGAACACCCGUGGCGAAGGCGGCUCUCUGGGACGGUACUGACGCUGAGACGCGAAAGCGUGGGGAGCGAACAGG